rnacentral:tRNA from 1 species
AUUUUUCUAGUAUAAUUAGUACAUUUAACUUCCAAUUAAAAAGUUUGAUAUAUCAAGAAAAAUA